ensembl:misc_RNA 7SK 7SK RNA
GGUUGUGAGUGUGAUCUGGCUGCAACAUAUGUCACCCUACAGAAACCCAGCGUUGAUAUGGUUGAUCUGGCUGGCUAGCCAGUUGUCGCCCUUUCCGCUCUCCUCUCCAUGUGUAUCCUUUCAGAAGCUGCAUGCUUGGUUGAAGAGGCUGACCACCCCUGGUUAUAAAAGGAUCAUUUCCUCUUCUAAGGGUAUCUGACUCACUGUGCUCCCCUACUAAAACAUUCUAACAAGCUCUCAAAAUGACAAUUAGAAUAAUAUAUGGCAUAUCUAAUAGGAAUUAUAUAAAUUAUAAGGGAAAGCUAAAGCAUUA